UACGUAGGGCGCAAGCGUUAUCCGGAAUUACUGGGCGUAAAGAGCUCGUAGGUGGUUUGUCGCGUUGUCCGUGAAAACUCACAACUCAAUUGUGGGCGUGCGGGCGAUACGGGCAGACUGGAGUACUGCAGGGGAGACUGGAAUUCCUGGUGUAGCGGUGGAAUGCGCAGAUAUCAGGAGGAACACCGGUGGCGAAGGCGGGUCUCUGGGCCGAUACUGACGCUGAGGAGCGAAAGCGUGGGGAGCAAACAGG
rnacentral:rRNA from 1 species